rnacentral:rRNA from 1 species
AUUGAACGCUGGCGGCAUGCCUUACACAUGCAAGUCGAACGGCAGCACGGGGGCAACCCUGGUGGCGAGUGGCGAACGGGUGAGUAAUACAUCGGAACGUGUCCUGGAGUGGGGGAUAGCCCGGCGAAAGCCGGAUUAAUACCGCAUACGCUCUGAGGAGGAAAGCGGGGGAUCUUUCGGGACCUCGCGCUCAAGGGGCGGCCGAUGGCAGAUUAGCUAGUUGGUGGGGUAAAGGCCUAC